CAGCCGCCGCGGUAAUACGUAGGUGGCAAGCGUUGUCCGGAAUUAUUGGGCGUAAAGGGCUCGCAGGCGGUUUCUUAAGUCUGAUGUGAAAGCCCCCGGCUCAACCGGGGAGGGUCAUUGGAAGCUGGGAAACUUGAGUGCAGAAGAGGAGAGUGGAAUUCCACGUGUAGCGGUGAAAUGCGUAGAGAUGUGGAGGAACACCAGUGGCGAAGGCGACUCUCUGGUCUGUAACUGACGCUGAGGAGCGAAAGCGUGGGGAGCGAACAGGAUUAGAUACCCCGGUAGUCCCUGUCUCUUAUAC
rnacentral:rRNA from 1 species